rnacentral:rRNA from 1 species
CCUACGGGAGGCAGCAGUGAGGAAUAUUGGUCAAUGGCCGGAAGGCUGAACCAGCCAUGCCGCGUGAAGGGCAGGGGCCUAGGGGCGGUAAACUGCUUUUGUGCGGGAGCAAGAAUGGGCACGUGUGGCAAGACGAGAGUACCGUAGGAAUAAGCAGCGGCGAACUCCGGGCCAGCAGCCGCGGUAAUACGGGGGAUGCAAGCGUUAUCCGGAUUUCUUGGGUUGAAAGGGUGCGUAGGCUGGGAGGUAAGUCAGCGGUGAAAUGCCCCCGCUCAACGGGGGGAAGUGCCAUUGAUACUGCCUUGCUGGACUGCGGAUGCCGUGGGAGGAAUGUGUGGUGUAGCGG